rnacentral:lncRNA from 1 species
CAUCUCCACUCCUCCUCUCAUCAUUUUCUUCUUUUUUAUGCUCAAAAGUUGGGUACUCUCUCUUCCACAUGCCUAGAAGAAGUUCUGGUGACUUAGAGAUCAAGGAUCGAGGAGAAGAAGAUGAAGGCUGCAGAUCAAGAAGUUGAUCUCGCAGUUAAGAUCAAAGAAGUUGAUCAAAGUCUUCAAGAUCAAGAUUCUUCUUGAGAAGAAGAAUUUAAUACGA